rnacentral:rRNA from 1 species
UACGAAGGAUCCAAGCGUUGUCCGGAUUUACUGGGCUUAAAGGGUGCGUAGGCGGCCUUUUAAGUCAGUGGUGAAAGCCUGUAGCUUAACUAUAGAAUUGCCAUUGAAACUGAAAGUCUCGAGUGUGGUUGAGGUAACUGGAAUAUAUCAUGUAGCGGUGAAAUGCUUAGAUAUGAUAUAGAACACCAAUUGCGAAGGCAGGUUACUGGGCCACAACUGACGCUGAGGCACGAAAGCGUGGGGAUCAAACAGG